rnacentral:rRNA from 1 species
GACGAACGCUGGCGGCGUGCCUAAUACAUGCAAGUCGAACGCAGUGGGGACGGGUGAGUAACACGUGGGUAACCUCCCAUCAGAGGGGAUAACACUUGGAAACAGGUGCUAAACCGAUACUGAUGGAUGGACCCGCGGUGCAUUAGCUAGUUGGUGAGGUAACGGCUCACCAAGGCCACGAUGCAUAGCCGCCCUGAGAGGUUGAUCGGCCACACGGGGACUAAACCACGGCCCGGACUCCUACGGGCGGCAGAAGUAGGGAAUCUUCGGCAAUGGACGAAAUGCUGACCGGGCAACGCCGCGUGAGUGAAGAAGGUUUUCGGAUCGUAAAACUCUGUUGUUAGAGAAGCGGUAUCUAACCAGAAAGCCACGGCUAACUACGUGCCAGCAGCCGCGGUAAUUC